AAAAGCCCCAAACGACAAACUGAUCGUUAGUCGAUUUUGUAUGCAGGGGAAGGGCUUCCCUUCCCUUUUCUCAAGGGUUAAUGUCAGCUCUUUAUUGAAGCCUCUGCAGAAUAUUUUAAUAAUGCGGGAAAUUGAAACAACAUAUCAUCACCCCGGUAAAUAAAGAAAAAAAAAAAAGGCAAAGAAAAGACAUGUCUAUGUAUAUAUAUAUUAGAGGAGGAGAGGGUUAAACUGAGAGAACAAUAAAAAUCAUCCACAAAAAACGUCAGUCUUUUCCGAGAUUUGAGGAAAAACACGUAAGAAGAAAAAAAAAUUAUACAUAUUCAUAGUGUAUGUAUAUAUUUGUGUGUCUAUGUGUGAUGAGAGAACCGGUUUUUGUUGCUUUUUUUCGUUUUAUACUCAACUUAAACAACGACAGGAGGGGGCAAUACAAACGGUCUGGUAUAUCAGUUUGCAAAGUUUUUUUUUUCUCGUUUUUAAAUCUUCCUUUUGUAAAAGCUAGCCGACAUUCAGCUGAUGAUUAUGAAUUUGUUUUUUGUUGUGAAACCAGAAACAGGUUUCACUAUUUGUUUGCUUUUUCUUAUAAACUCACGGAAACACAAAAUGGAGAUUACACACACAGACACACAUACUGGUACUUAAUAAUAAUAAUAAUAAUAAUAAUAAUA